rnacentral:rRNA from 1 species
AACGAACGCUGGCGGCAUGCCUAACACAUGCAAGUCGAACGAGACCUUCGGGUCUAGUGGCGCACGGGUGCGUAACGCGUGGGAACCUGCCCUUAGGUUCGGAAUAACUCCCCGAAAGGGGUGCUAAUACCGGAUAAUGUCUUCGGACCAAAGAUUUAUCGACUUUGGAUGGGCCCGCGUUGGAUUAGGUAGUUGGUAGGGUAAAAGCAUACCAAGGCGACGAUCCAUAGCUGGUCUGAGAGGAUGCUCAGCCACACUGGGACUGAGACACGGCCCAGACUCCUACGGGAGGGAGCAGUGGGGAAUAUUGGAAAGUGGGCGAAAGCCUGAUCCAGCAAUGCCGCGUGAGUGAUGAAGGCCUUAGGGUUGUAAAGCUCUUUUACCCGGGAUGAUAAUGACAGUACCGGGAGAAUAAGCUCCGGCUAACUCCGUG